rnacentral:snoRNA from 1 species
UGGACAUGAUGUCAAACUGCCGUCCUGACCCACCAUGGAGGGAAAAGACUGAUUUAAUGAGGCUGAUCC